GGUGAGGUGGCCGAGCUAGGCUGAAGGCGCUCGCCUGCUAAGCGGGUAGGGGGCCAUAAAGCUCCCUCCAGGGUUCAAAUCCCUGCCUCACCGCCA
rnacentral:tRNA from 2 species